GACGAACGCUGGCGGCGUGCUUAACACAUGCAAGUCGUACGGUAAGGCCCUUUCGGGGGUACACGAGUGGCGAACGGGUGAGUAACACGUGAGUAACCUGCCCACAACUUUGGGAUAACGCUAGGAAACUGGUGCUAAUACUGGAUAUGUGCUCCUGCUGCAUGGUGGGGGUUGGAAAGCUCCGGCGGUUGUGGAUGGACUCGCGGCCUAUCAGCUUGUUGGUGGGGUAGUGGCCUACCAAGGCGGCGACGGGUAGCCGGCCUGAGAGGGUGACCGGCCACAUUGGGACUGAGAGACGGCCCAGACUCCGACGGGAGGGAGAAGUGGGGAAUAUUGCACAAGGGGCGCAAGCCUGAUGCAGAAACGCCGCGUGCGGGAUGACGGCCUUCGGGUUGUAAACCGCUUUCAGCAGGGACGAAGCUUUUUGUGACGGUACCUGCAGAAGAAGCACCGGCUAACUACGUG
rnacentral:rRNA from 1 species